rnacentral:rRNA from 1 species
GGAGAACGGGUGAGUAACACGUUGAGUGAUCAUGCCCAUUGCACGACGGGGUAUAGCCCGGGGGAAACCCCGGAUUAAUCACCGGAUGGUCUGUCGAUGCCCACGGGCUUCUCUUAGAAACAGAUGGCUUCGUGCCUUUCGGUCAGCAGGAGGCAGCUUUGCGGCGGAUUACCUUGUUGGUCGCAGCGUAACGGCUCACCAAUGGCGACGAUCCGUAGCUGGUCUGAGAGGACGGAUCAGCCACACUGGGACUGAGACACGGCCCAGACUUCCAUACGGGAGGCAGCAGUGGGGAAUCUUGCGCAAUGGGCGUAAAUGCCUGAGCGCAGCGACGCCGCUGUGAGGGAAGAAGGCCUUCGGGUUGUAAAGCCUCUUUCAGGAGGGACGAAGGCUACUCGGGUUAAUACCCCAUAGGGUGACGGUACCUCCAGAAUGAAUGCCCCGGCUAAAACUACGUGCCAGCCGCC